AACGAACGCUGGCGGCGCGCCUAAUACAUGCAAGUCGAGCGAGAAGACGUAGCAAUACGUUUGUAAAGCGGCGAACGGGUGAGGAAUACAUGGGUAACCUACCCUCGAGUGGGGAAUAACUAGCCGAAAGGUUAGCUAAUACCGCGUACGCUCCUUGGACUUCGGUUCAGGGAGGAAAGCGAUACCGUGGGUAUCGCGCUCUUGGAUGGGCUCAUGUCCUAUCAGCUUGUUGGUGAGGAACGGCUCACCAAGGCUUCGACGGGUAGCUGGUCUGAGAGGACGAUCAGCCACACUGGCACUGCGACACGGGCCAGACUCCUACGGGAGGCGGCAGUAAGGAAUAUUGCGCAAUGGGCGAAAGCCUGACGCAGCGACGCCGCGU
rnacentral:rRNA from 1 species